CACAGAAAGACCACCAUUUCGCUGAAAUUCUCCAGUUGGUCAGUGAAAAGAUAUCAGCUCAUUCAGAACAAUUCAUUAUUGUUAGAAAUCUACAAGAACAACCCAUUCAGAGUACAGCUGGAACAAGAGAAGUAAUCAGACUACGAAUUUGGAAUUUAUAGAGAACUUGAAAAUGAGAACGGAAACUACAAAUUAUAAUUUGAAGUGUCAGAAGCUAAUAAUAAUUUAAAUGGAACACUGGAUGAAGAGAACUCCCCCCAUCCCUCUCAGUAUUGCCAUCAGAUGUGAUUUUGACAUUUAAGAGAUAGAAAGUUAUGAAAAGAAAUAGAAGUUGUUGAAAAGAAUAAAGCUUCAGCAUUUCCUCAGUGGGCUGUUUCAAAAUAAAUGGCACAUGAAGUGAAAAGAAAAAUAGUUAAAAAUUAAAGUUCAUAAAAAGUCCAAAUUGGCAGUUCCUUAUUUUUGUACAGUCAUUACAGUCUUUAAAAUCCAAUCGAGUGCUACUCAUAAGUAACCAAUAAUUUUUUUUGAAGCUUUAUUUACAAGAUGUUACCAAAAGUAAGCAAAUUACAAGAAUAUUAUUUAUAAAGUUCAACAUAGUGUUGAAUAUAGACUUAAAAUACAGAAUACUCCUCAUAAUUUAUUAAGUUCUGGAAAUUUUGUUUACUAUAACAGUAAAAAACAGGCGUGACAUAAAUAGAUAUGUAAUGUCAUCAACUUCAAUGAAAUUUUAUAGUAAUAUUAAUAAAUCAUUAUAUGGCAAAAAACUGUUAUCGUUUUAAUAGUAUGUAAAGAGCUGAAUUGAU